CUUUCUGGUUGUUUGAUAUUAAUAUCUUG
rnacentral:piRNA from 1 species